rnacentral:rRNA from 1 species
UACGUAGGGUCCAAGCGUUGUCCGGAUUUAUUGGGCGUAAAGAGCGUGUAGGCGGUCAGGUAGGUCCGUUGUGAAAACUCGAGGCUCAACCUCGAGACGCCGAUGGAAACCAUCUGACUAGAGUCCGGAAGAGGAGAGUGGAAUUCCUGGUGUAGCGGUGAAAUGCGCAGAUAUCAGGAAGAACACCCGUGGCUAAGGCGGCUCUCUAGUACGGUACUGACGCUGAGACGCGAAAGCGUGGGGAGCGAACAGG